UACAGAGGUCUCAAGCGUUUGUUCGGAUUCAUUGGGCGUAAAGGGUGCGUAGGCGGCGCGGUAAGUCGGGUGUGAAAUCUCGGAGCUUAACUCCGAAACUGCAUUCGAUACUGCCGUGCUUGAGAGCUGUAGAGGCAGACGGAAUUCCGGGUGUAGCGGUGGAAUGCGUAGAGAUCCGGAGGAAGACCGGUGGCGAAGGCGGUCUGCUGGGCAGUUUCUGACACUGAUGCGCGACAGCGUGGGGAGCAAACAGG
rnacentral:rRNA from 1 species